UCUUGGUCCCCUGUGUACAAAAAAGUGGUCCCUUGUGAAGUACUUUCUGUAAAAAUUCAAGAAAUCAUUUGCAUAAACGUUUACCACCUAUUGGUAAACGUUUACACCACCCAUUUUCAAUGCACUUGACUCAGGAUUUCAUCCAACCACUUUUUUUGAACACAACUCCUUCCUCAAUGGAAUUUGGGGUCCCCAAAAUCAACUCUCCACCCCCAACACACAACUUAAAACCAAAAAAAUCAAAAUCCCAUGCAAAUUUUGCCAAAAUGUUAAAAUUUGACAUCUUGGUCCCCUGUGUACAAAAAAGUGGUCCCUAGUGAAGGACUUUCUGUAGAAAUUCAAUAAAGCAUUCGCGUAAACGUUUUUACCCCCAUUUUCUAAACCAUUACAACACCUUCUUUCAAUGAACCAGGUUUCUCUAUUCAACUAAGAAUGUUGCCAAUGUCCAAAUGCAUUGUUUCUUUCAUCCAUUAAGUCCAACAUCAAUAAAAAUAUCUGUCAACUAUAAUAUUUAACAACUGUAUCG
rnacentral:lncRNA from 1 species